UAGAGUUUGAUCCUGGCUCAGGAUUAACGCUUGCGGCAUGCCUAAUACAUGCAAGUCGAACGAAAAAUAUAUAGAUGCUUGCAUUUAUAUAUUUUUAGUGGCGAACGGGUGAGUAAUAUAUAGAUAACCUACCUUUAAGUUGGGGAUAACAGAGGGAAACUUUUGCUAAUACCGAAUAAAAUAAUUAGACGCAUGUUUAAUUAUUAAAAGGGGCUUCACAGCCCCGCUCUAAGAGGGGUCUAUAUCGAAUUAGCUAGUUGGUGGGGUAACAGCUCACCAAGGCAACGAUUGGUAGCCGGCCUGAGAGGGUGAUCGGCCACACUGGAACUGAGACACGGUCCAGACUCCUACGGGAGGCAGCAGUGGGGAAUAUUGGGCAAUGGAGGAAACUCUUACCCAGCAAUGCCGCGUGAGUGAAUUAGAAGGUCUUCGGAUUGUAAAGCUCUUUGAUUAGGGAAGAUAAUGACGUGUACCUAAAGAACAAGCCCCGGCUAACUAUGUGCCAGCAGCCGCGGUAAUACAUAGGGGGCAAGCGUUGUCCGGAAUGACUGGGCGUAAAGGGUGCGUAGGUGGUGUACCAAGUUGGAAGUGUAAUACCCAGAGCUUAACUCGGGUGCUGCUUCCAAAACUGGUUUACUUGAGUGUCGGAGGGGAAAGUGGAAUUCCUAGUGUAGCGGUGGAAUGCGUAGAUAUUAGGAGGAACACCGGUGGCGAAAGCGGCUUUCUGGACGACAACUGACACUGAGGCACGAGAGCGUGGGGAGCAAACAGGAUUAGAUACCCUGGUAGUCCACGCCGUAAACGAUGGAUACUAGGUGUAGGGGGUAUCGACUCCCUCUGUACCGAAGCAAACGCAUUAAGUAUCCCGCCUGAGUAGUACGGUCGCAAGGCUAAAACUCAAAGAAAUUGACGGGGACCCGCACAAGCAGCGGAGCAUGUGGUUUAAUUCGAAGCAACGCGAAGAACCUUACCAAGAAUUGACAUCUAUAUGCCAACUCACGAAAUUGAGUCUUUCUUCGGAACAUAUAGACUGGUGGUGCACGGUUGUCGUCAGCUCGUGUCGUGAGAUGUUUGGUUAAGUCCAGCAACGAGCGCAACCCUUUUUACUAGUUGCCAAUAUUAAGUUAGGAACUCUAGUGAUACUGCCGUAGAUAAUACGGAGGAAGGUGGGGAUGACGUCAAAUCAUCAUGCCCCUUAUAUCUUGGGCUACACACGUGCUACAAUGGCCAUUACAAAGAGCUGCAAUAUGGUAACAUGGAGCAAAUCUCAUAAAAAUGGUCUCAGUUCGGAUUGUGGGCUGCAACUCGCCCACAUGAAGUCGGAGUUGCUAGUAAUCCCGAAUCAGAACGUCGGGGUGAAUGCGUUCCCGGGUCUUGUACACACCGCCCGUCA
rnacentral:rRNA from 1 species